GAUGAAGAACGCAGCGAAAUGCGAUAAGUAAUGUGAAUUGCAGAAUUCAGUGAAUCAUCGAAUCUUUGAACGCGCAUUGCGCCCAUUAGCAUUCUAGUGGGCAUGCCUGUUCGAGCGUCAUUUCAACCCUUAAGCCCCUGUUGCUUAGCGUUGGGAGCCUACAGCACUGUAGCUCCCCAAAGUUAGUGGCGGAGUCGGUCUCACACUCUAGACGUAGUAAAUCUAUCUCGUCUGUAGUUGGGCCGGUCCCCUGCCGUAAAACCCCUAAAUUUUUAAAGGUUGACCUCGGAUCAGGUAGGAAUACCCGCUGAACUUAAGCAUAUCAAUAAGCGGAGGA
rnacentral:misc_RNA from 1 species